UCUGAUCAAUGACUUUCUUCAUAGCCUAUAAACAUUGUCUUAUGCAUACACAGCAAAUUCAUCAGAGUUAAAUUCUCGGUGUUGAAGCAUUUCAGAGUAAAGUGUUGACGUUAAAGAGUUAGAUUUUGAUAAAUGAAUAUAAUAAGAGUUAAAAUUGAUUUUAUUCAGUGCGAAAUCAAGGAGUUAUCUUUUUUACACUUGGUGGUGUUAUUUCCAACAUCCGGGAAUUCAUGCAGCUCCAGUCACUGAAAAAUUUUCCAGACGCCAUUUUCCAUCUGAAGUUUAGAACAGCAACUGCCACAGUUCUCUAUACAAUAACACAAGACCCUGUGACGGUGGCUGAUUAGAGACGGAUGGUGUAUUUCCAGAGUUGGUGAAAUGACCAAGCACACCUUCUUGGUCAUAUGUGGUGAUAAUAACGAAGGUAUGUUUGAUAAAGUUCUGUAUUUGUUUCACAAUAAGCUGAGAGGGUAUUAGAGCAUUAGAGAAUAACAAAUGACAUGAAGGUGAUAAGUUUUGUAUUGUGGGUGAACUGUUACUUAAAUAAUGUUUUGCUCUUUGCUUUGCACUUUUCCUCUUCUGCUUAUCCUAAUAGUUAAGAUUAUAUUUGGACCUGAAACAUCUGCUAGACUCCAGGAAAGGUGGCGUCAAUACUGGUCCUGAAAGGGCCCAACAAGUUGAAUCUGGUAAAGAAACACGCACGCACGCACACACACACACACACACACGCACACGCUUACAGAAAACUGUAAGUUUAUGGAUAUUUUUUACACUGUGGCCAAUAUUUUGGGGAAGUCAGCAUCACUAAAUGAUAUAAAAGAUUUUAAGCUCCUCUAAAUUUUGCUCCAAGUGUUGUGUUAAAUUCAAGAUUCUGGACAGACAGCUGCCUGUUUUUCCAGUUCUAGUCAUAGUGAUUAACCUAAUUGUUUUUGGAGAUCCAACAGUGAUGUAUGUGUUUUUUUUUCUACUUUUCCAUAUCCUGUCACCUCAACCAGCUGGGAGAGUCAAGUUGUGGAUCAUCAUGAAGAUUUUCAAAAGUCAUGCUGGAGUCUUGAAGAGUUCUUAGAUGAGCAUCACCCUAUAUCCGUGCAUCAGGAACCACCAGACGAGCGAUCAGCAGCUACUACAUCGUCAUGGAUAAAAAGGUCAUCCUGUGGCUGGGAAGCACUUCAUUCACAGGACAUGCUUGAUGAGAUUUCCUAGCUCCAGUUUGUUUUCACACAAGUUUCCAGCAUUUAUACCUUCAUUUAAAUUGCUGUGUUUGAUAUGGAGGAACAAGGAAACACCAGAAGUGAAAGAUUUGCACGCCAAGUUGUUUAAAAUGUAAGUUUGGACCAAAGGACUAAAACAGCCUUUUUGAGCACUGGUCAUACAUAUUUUGUUGAUACUGUCUGUACUAAUAAAACAUUUAAAGCAUAUUUGACAUUGUUGCAUUUUAAAAACUGAAUGAAUUGUUGAAGUGGUGAAUGUUUUCAAAUAAAAUGUUUUUUCUUUUGUAAUUUACAGUCUAUUUGAGUUUUUUACCAUAUUUACAC
rnacentral:lncRNA from 1 species